rnacentral:lncRNA from 1 species
CUAGAAGAAAGAUAAAAUAAAAGGAUAAGUGUAAAAUAAAUGAAGUAGAGGGCACAUGUCCCCUUUUAGCCUUCUGUUCUUGAAAGGGAAGCCAAAAUAGUUUCACUUCGGUAUUUUCUCAGCCACUGCUCUUAUUUGGGACCUCCCUUCGUAAAUUUGUAUAUUUUAUGUGUCAAUUCCUGUAUUUCGUUCUCAAUUAGUUUGUUGGCAUAUGGAGUAUAUUUUAUUUUAAAGAAAGAUAAAAACGAAGAAUUUCCAGAUUCCAGCUGUGAAUUUAUCCCUUUCUCGAUCAAAAGUCCAUUUUGGCGUUUGUUAUGCGACCAUCUUCUCGCGAUGUCACCGUUUUGACGUCCAUGCAAAAUAGUUUGCAGAUAAUUUAUCCCUAUCCCCACUUCUCAUUGAUUACAUCUAUCUUCUACCUAAAUAUUACACAUAUAUGUAAACCCGUUUUAUGUUUAAAUGAAUAAUAUACAAACAUAUUCACUUUUAGCAAGUCUACGAGGAAAAAAUGUUUCUGUAGCAAGGGUUGAUUGUACAAAUAUUUUUUUUUGUAUUUAUCACGUUCUACGAACAAAACUUUUGUACUUUUGUAUAUAUUUACGAAAUUACUUUGUUCACAUAGUGAACUAUUAGAAGCUUACUGGUUGUUUUUUACUUGACAUAGAUAUGUAAAUGGACUGACGUAUAUUAAUCAUACAUAUUAUUUAGUGGAAGAACACCACCAUCAUGAAUUAGUUUAUUUGUUUUAAACUAUGUAUAAAUUAGUUUAAUUAGUUGCCACAUAUAUGUAACUAUUUUGGUGCAUACAAGUAAUGUUAAGUGAUUAUUGUUGAACCAUUCAAAAAUAUUUUCUUUGCGCAGGCGUUGUGGUAAGGGUCGGCACAUAAGCUGUAGAAGCCGUGUGUUUCAAGGUUUGAUGGUGCAUUUAUUUCUGAUAGCUCACGGUAACUGUAUAGGCCAUUCUACUAAUUUUUCGUUUAAAUGACAUUCACUUUUCCGUUGGUGUCCGG